GGGUCAAUGAUAAGAACUCUUAUGUCUUGAAGAGAGAUGAUGACCUGAAAAUCAUGCUCAAAAUGAUUACACUGAGGCCC